AUACAAAUCAGCCGACUGGGA
rnacentral:miRNA from 1 species